rnacentral:rRNA from 1 species
CAAUAGCGUAUAUUAAAGUUGUUGCAGUUAAAAAGCUCGUAGUUGGAUUUCUGGUGGGAGCGAUCGGUCUGGCGCUUAGCGCGAGUACUUGCAUCGUCUCCGGCCAUCCUUGGGGAGAGUCUGUCUGGCAUUAGGUUGUCGGGCAGAGGAUCCUCAUCGUUUACUGUGAAAAAAUUAGAGUGUUCAAAGCAGGCUUAUGCCGUUGAAUAUAUUAGCAUGGAAUAAUAAGAUAGGACUUUGGUACUAUUUUGUUAGUUUGCGCACCAAAGUAAUGAUUGAUAGGGACAGUUGGGGGUAUUCGUAUUCCGUUGUCAGAGGUGAAAUUCUUGGAUUUACGGAAGACGAACUACUGCGAAAGCAUUUACCAAGGAUGUUUUCAUUAA